rnacentral:rRNA from 1 species
GAUGAACGCUGGCGGCGUGCUUAACACAUGCAAGUCGAACGGAAAGGCCUCUGCUUGCAGGGGUACUCGAGUGGCGAACGGGUGAGUAACACGUGGGUGAUCUGCCCUGCACUUCGGGAUAAGCCUGGGAAACUGGGUCUAAUACCGGAUAGGACAAUGGUUUGGAUGCUGUUGUGGAAAGUUUUUCGGUGUGGGAUGAGCUCGCGGCCUAUCAGCUUGUUGGUGGGGUAAUGGCCUACCAAGGCGUCGACGGGUAGCCGGCCUGAGAGGGUGUACGGCCACAUUGGGACUGAGAUACGGGCCAGACUCCUACGGGAGGCAGCAGUGGGGAAUAUUGCACAAUGGGCGCAAGCCUGAGGCAGCGACGCCGCGUGGGGGAUGACGGCCUUCGGGUUGUAAACUCCUUUCGCUAGGGACGAAGCGUUUUUGUGACGGUACCUGGAGAAGAAGCACCGGCUAACUACGUG